CCUACGGGUGGCAGCAGUGAGGAAUAUUGGUCAAUGGAUGCGAGCCUGAACCAGCCAAGUAGCGUGAAGGAUGACUGCCCUACGGGUUGUAAACUUCUUUUAUAUAGGAAUAAAGUGAUGCACGUGUGCCUUUUUGUAUGUACUUUAUGAAUAAGGAUCGGCUAACUCCGUGCCAGCAGCCGCGGUAAUACGGAGGAUCCGAGCGUUAUCCGGAUUUAUUGGGUUUAAAGGGAGCGUGGUGGGUUGUUAAGGCAGUUGUGAAAAUUUGCGGCUCAACCGUAAAAUUGCAGUUGAAACUGGCAGUCUUGAGUACAGUAGAGGUGGGCGGAAUUCGUGGUGUAGCGGUGAAAUGCUUAGAUAUCACGAAGAACUCCGAUUGCGAAGGCAGCUCACUAGACUGCAACUGACACUGAGGCUCGAAAGUGUGGGUAUCAAACAGGAUUAGAUACCCUUGUAGUC
rnacentral:rRNA from 1 species